rnacentral:tRNA from 1 species
GGGGAUGUGGGGGAAUUGGUAGACCCACCUGACUCAAAAUCAGGCGCUGAAAGGCGUGUGGGUUCGAGUCCCACCAUCCCUA